GAUGAACGCUGGCGGCGUGCCUAAUACAUGCAAGUCGAGCGAAGCGGGCACGGGUGAGUAACACGUGUGGAACCUCCUAUAAGACUGGGAUAACUUCGGGAAACCGGUGCUAAACCCGCUUCUUUUAGCUGGCUCCGUGCUGCAUUAGCUAGUUGGUAAGGUAACGGCUUACCAAGGCAACGAUGCAUAGCCGACCUGAGAGGGUGAUCAGCCACACUGGAACUGAGACACGGUCCAGACUCCUACGGGAGGCAGCAGUGGGGAAUCUUGCGCAAUGGGCGAAAGCCUGACGGAGCAAUGCCGCGUGAGUGAUGAAGGCCUUCGGAUCGUAAAACUCUGUUAGUAGGGAAGCGGUACCUAAACAGAAAGCAACGGCUAACUACGUGCCAGCAGCCGCGGUAAUAC
rnacentral:rRNA from 1 species